UACGUAGGGUGCGAGCGUUGUCCGGAUUUAUUGGGCGUAAAGAGCGUGUAGGCGGCUAUGCAGGUCCGCUGUGAAAACUCGAGGCUCAACCUCGAGACGUCGGUGGAAACCGCAUGGCUAGAGUCCGGAAGAGGAGAGUGGAAUUCCCGGUGUAGCGGUGAAAUGCGCAGAUAUCGGGAAGAACACCCGUGGCGAAGGCGGCUCUCUGGGACGGUACUGACGCUGAGACGCGAAAGCGUGGGGAGCGAACAGG
rnacentral:rRNA from 1 species